rnacentral:rRNA from 1 species
UACGUAGGGUGCAAGCGUUAAUCGGAAUUACUGGGCGUAAAGCGUGCGCAGGCGGUUGUGCAAGACCGAUGUGAAAUCCCCGGGCUUAACCUGGGAAUGGCAUUGGUGACUGCACGGCUAGAGUGUGUCAGAGGGGGGGUAGAAUUCCACGUGUAGCAGUGAAAUGCGUAGAGAUGUGGAGGAACACCGAUGGCGAAGGCAGCCCCCCUGGGUCAAGAUUGACGCUCAUGCACGAAAAGCGUGGGGGAGCAAACAGG